UGCUGAUUCUAGUAUCUUCAGAGGUUCCAUU
rnacentral:piRNA from 1 species